GGAGGAAAAGAAACUAACAAGGAUUCCCCUAGUAACGGCGAGUGAAGCGGGAAGAGCUCAAAUUUGAAAUCUGGUAGCCUUCGGUUGCCCGAGUUGUAAUCUAGAGAAGUGUUUUCCGUGCCGGCCCAUGUACAAGUCCCUUGGAACAGGGCGUCAUAGAGGGUGAGAAUCCCGUCCUUGACAUGGACCCCCGGUGCUUUGUGAUACACUUUCAACGAGUCGAGUUGUUUGGGAAUGCAGCUCAAAAUGGGUGGUGAAUUCCAUCUAAAGCUAAAUAUUGGCGAGAGACCGAUAGCGAACAAGUACCGUGAGGGAAAGAUGAAAAGCACUUUGGAAAGAGAGUUAAACAGUACGUGAAAUUGUUGAAAGGGAAACGAUUGAAGUCAGUCAUGCUCUUAGGAUUCAGCCGUUCUGCGGUGUAUUUCCUUUGAGUGGGGUCAACAUCAGUUUUGAUCGAUGGAUAAAGGCACGAGGAAGGUAGCACUCUCGGGUGAACUUAUAGCCUCGCGUCAUAUACAUUGAUUGGGACUGAGGAACGCAGCAUGCCUUUAUGGCCGGGAUUCGUCCACGUACAUGCUUAGG
rnacentral:rRNA from 1 species